UAAGUCCAGUCCCAGUCGGAUAUGCAGAAUCUAAGAAGACUGAAUGUAGUUUAACCAAAGGGAUCUAGCUAUAGUGCCACAAUCUUGUAACGUCCUACAACAUUGCCUUGAAAACAUGCUUAAACAAAAUCUGCAUGGCAUCUUUUAAAUCAAACAUCAAACAAUGCCUUUGAAGUGCUCAGAGCCUUACAAGUAUUGUUCAAAAGAUUCUGGAUCUUCUCUGCAUUCUCUCUUUAAUCUUAGGUGGGGAGAAGAAGAAAAGAAAAAGAAGAAAUGUCUGAAGACAUGAACAAAAGACCUUUACGGGGAGGAGGAAGAGAAAGAACAAGGUACCAUCCAGACAGGAAUUCAGGGAAGGGGAGCCAAAGUACACAUUUGACAGCUUUUAUUGGAGCUGCACCUUGAACACGAGCUACAUUUCCGAAGAAACAAGCUGUUCUGCUGCAAACAGUGAAUCCCAAAGGUGCCAAAUCUUAAUGGAAACAAAGAAUUGAGGCACUGAAAGCGUCAAAAGAGUUCAAAGAGCAGUGAAGAGAUGGGGCAGUGGCCUGUGAGUCUGUGUUCAGAUUAAACUUCAAUGCAUCUUGAGGUGUAAGACAUCUCGGACGUUGCUGUGAAAUAGCACAAAUCUACUUUGGACUUUCCAUGGUGUAAUGCUGACUCGAGCUCCAAGCCCUGUUCUAAUAUCUGUGUUGAAGUCUUGUUUUGCAAACUGUGCACAUCAGUGAGAAAACCACACAUUGAAUCGAGCUGCUGAUUGGAUUGCAGUACCCAGGACUCAACAUUUCUGUGUUGGAUUCUGAAGUAAUUUGUCUUUUGCUUCAUAUGCGAACUGUUGCUUCUUUCACCACACACACACUAGUUCUGGUUCAAAGCCUGUUGGUAAUUCACAUUCCUCAGCAAGCUCACAAGCAUCAGCAGUGUCGUGCGGCAGUCUGCGUGUCGAAGUCCUUUGCCUGAAGUUUCUUAUUGGUAAGGUUAAUCUCAAACAAGAUAUACCACAAAAUGAGUGAAAGUACAAUGCCCCGAGGGAGGAUAGGGAUGCGUGUAAUAAGCUCUGGUAUUAAGGGUUGUCUUUUGUAAUUGAGUACCAUUGAUUUAAAUGAGUUUACAUUACUGUAGAUGAGGCAAAGUGAUUAAGCCAGCCCCUUGCUAUUAGCCAGGCUUAGGAAAGAGAGGAGGCAUUAGCUGUGAACCUAUUAGCAGCUUAGGGAGGAAAGGCAAGCGUGGAAUGAGGCUUAAAAAGGUGGAUGGUUUUGUGGUGACAGCUGGAACUCUGCAGUCUGGCCAAUUCCCAGUACCGCAACGCACACUUCCAGUGUGACCCUGGGCACGUUAUGUAGGGUAAUAUUUUCCAGAGCACUGAGGAACGACGUCUUUCAUUCAGAACUGACCAAGGCACUUAGGUGUUUUUGAAAAUUUUACCCUCCCUCGCUCUGCAGCUCAGUUCCUCGUCUGUUCAGAGGGCACAACGCUUACUUGCGGUCUCCUCCUCGUCAAACACGUGCAGUUUGGGGGACUAUGUCUUUGCACAGUACCGAGAGCAACAGGGCCCAUAGCUUGUCUGGGGCGUGUAGGCAGCAGAAAUAAUAGAUCUCUUCAGAGUGUCAAGUUGCACAAGCCAUUUCCACACACAACAGGCCAAACACCCUCCUCGAAUUUUAGACAGAAUUGCCAUUGACUUACAAAGAGAUUACUUUAGAGCAGGGGUCACCAACCAGUCGAUCGGCAUCCGCCGGUAGAUCUCGGAGCCUCUGACAGGGGAUCCUGACUGGUUUGGCUGGGAAGCUGUCGAGUGCUGGCACUUCGUGCUGCUUCUACCCUCUGUCCUGAAGCUGCCCCCCUGGGAGCCUGCUGCUUACUGUGCAGGGUGUGGGAGGGAGAAGGGGGGGUGCUGAUGUCAGGG